GAUGAACGCUGGCGGCGUGCCUAAUACAUGCAAGUCGAGCGAACAGACGAGGAGCUUGCUCCUCUGACGUUAGCGGCGGACGGGUGAGUAACACGUGGAUAACCUACCUAUAAGACUGGGAUAACUUCGGGAAACCGGAGCUAAUACCGGAUAAUAUAUUGAACCGCAUGGUUCAAUAGUGAAAGACGGUUUUGCUGUCACUUAUAGAUGGAUCCGCGCCGCAUUAGCUAGUUGGUAAGGUAACGGCUUACCAAGGCAACGAUGCGUAGCCGACCUGAGAGGGUGAUCGGCCACACUGGAACUGAGACACGGUCCAGACUCCUACGGGAGGCAGCAGUAGGGAAUCUUACGCAAUGGGCGAAAGCCUGACGGAACAACGCCGCGUGAGUGAUGAAGGUCUUCGGAUCGUAAAACUCUGUUAUUAGGGAAGAACAAAUGUGUAAGUAACUAUGCACGUCUUGACGGUAACUAAUCAGAAAGCCACGGCUAACUACGUG
rnacentral:rRNA from 1 species